rnacentral:rRNA from 1 species
GACGAACCGUGCGAACGUUAUUCGGAAUCACUGGGCUUAAAGCGCGUGUAGGCGGGAGGGUACGUCCGUCGCUGAAAUCCCCCGGCUCAACCGGGGAACGGGCGCGGAUACGACCUUCCUGGAGGGGCGUAGGGGGACCUGGAACUUCCGGUGGAGCGGUGAAAUGCGUUGAGAUCGGAAGGAACGCCCGUGGCGAAAGCGAGGUCCUGGACGUUUUCUGACGCUGAGACGCGAAAGCCAGGGGAGCAAACGGG